rnacentral:rRNA from 1 species
UACGUAGGGGGCUAGCGUUGUCCGGAAUCAUUGGGCGUAAAGCGCACGUAGGCGGUCCGUUAAGUCAUGUGUGAAAUCCCCCGGCUCAACCGGGGAAUUGCGCCUGAUACUGGCGGGCUAGAGAUCGAUAGGGGUGAUCGGAACUCCAGGUGGAGCGGUGAAAUGCGUAGAUAUCUGGAGGAACACCGGUGGCGAAAGCGGAUCACUGGAUCGAAACUGACGCUGAGGUGCGAAAGCGUGGGGAGCGAACAGG